GUGAAAUUAAUGCUGUGUGUGUUAGUCAGAAGAAAUGACCUCCCCGAGUCACAAUCUCGCCUUGAGAGAUUCUGGGAGCUAUGCGGAUGAAAGAAUAUAAUCGCAGAUAUCUUCACUUUGAACACUAAGGGUCAAGGCAAAUUGAGAAAGGAGAGAAAAUGUUUGCUAUCAUCAUUCAACGACGAGAUGUCUCUCUCGCAAGACAAACAAGCCAGAUCAGUCACGGAAAUUGGGUUAGUGCCCUGGAUUUAUCUAAUCGCAAACUAUAGUAUCAAUAUUGUGUGAUCGAUGGAUUUAUUUUGAAAUUUAUUCAACGUUCAAGCUUGUUAUUAACGACAGUUAUUUCCCUGCAAUUAAAAUAUGGCUUUUAUACUAAAGAAACCAAGAAUAUGUUGAUAUAAAAAAUGAAUAUCUUUAUUUAAACCAAAAUAAAGGAAUUCAAUAAAAUCAGAUUAAGAAUGUCAAAACAUUUUCUCGGAAACUGAAAGCUUCAAAUUUUCAAGUCGCACAAGCAAUAAGAUAGUGAAACAAGAAUUUAUCUGACAUAUGUAUAAGAUCAGUUGAUUCCAGUUAAUUACUAUAAUCGAUGUUUUUCAUCAUUGUGGUCACACCUUCAUCACAAAUCCUGCAUUUUCAUUGCCUUCAUGGGUAUUUAAAAAAUUUAAACUUAAAUAAAUUAAAACAAAAUUAAAAAAUUCGAUAAAACCCAUCCUUUUGAGACAAUAUACAUGCUGUAAUUUGAGAUUUCUUUUUUUGAGUGAAGGUUAGCAAAUGUAAAUACUUAA